AUCGAACGCUGGCGGCCGGCCUAACACAUGCAAGUCGAGCGUGCGGCGGACGGGUGCGUAAUGUAUGGGGACUGCCCGUUAGCGGGGGCUAACUACUGGAACAGGUAGCUAAUCCCGCAUACUCUCCGCUUACUCAUAUGGUAUUAGCUAGUAGGUGAGUUAAUGGCUCACCUAGGGGACGAUCCCUAGCUGGGCUGAGCGGAUGAUCAGCAACACUGGGACGUAGACACGGCCCAGACGCCUACGGAGGCAGCAGUGGGGAAUAUUGCACAAUGGGCGCAAGCCUGAUGCAGCCAUGCGGCGUGUAUGAAGAAGGCCCUAGGGUUGUAAAGUACUUUCAGUCGGGAGGCGUUACCGACAGAAGAAGCACCGGCUAACUCCGUGCCAGCAGCCGCGGUAAUAC
rnacentral:rRNA from 1 species